UAUUGUUCUUCAACGAGGAAUCCCUAGUAAGCAUGAGUCAUCAGCUCAUGUUGAUUACGUCCCUGCCCUUUGUACACACCGCCCGUCGCUACUACCGAUUGAAUGGCUUAGUGAGACCUUUGGAUUGGGGUUUAGGGAUCGGCAACGAUCCUUAUUCUCCGAGAAGUCGGUCAAACUUGGUCAUUUAGAGGAAGUAAAAGUCGUAACAAGGUUUCCGUAGGUGAACCUGCGGAAGGAUCAUUAAAAAAUCUUUAUCCGGGAAUUCGUUUCGUUUUCCCGGAUUAUUUGUAUUCAAAUCCCACUCUUUAUAAAUAUAUUAAUUAUAUAAAACAAAAAUAAAAAAGAAAACUUUCAACAACGGAUCUCUUGGCUCUCGCAUCGAUGAAGAACGCAGCGAAAUGCGAUACGUAGUGUGAAUUGCAGAAUUCCGUGAAUCAUCGAAUCUUUGAACACAAAUUGUACCUUCCAGUAUUCUGGGAAGUAUGCUUGGUUGAGGGUCAUUAAAAUAACAUUCGUGAAUUUUUUGCGGAUUUGAGUUUUCCAGUAUUUAUAAAAAUGUUGGUAACUUUAAAAUUAUUAUAACUUGGUACAAGUUGAAGACGUUCUAUAUGUGUGGUUCGCUGACCACUUGUCCAUCAUCAUAUAUUAUGCACGCACUUGGUUUUUUUAAUGCUAAGUGUGAGUAUAUAUUUUUUUUAUGACCUCAGCUCAAGUAAGAAUACCCGCUGAACUUAAGCAUAUCAAUAAGCGGAGGAAAAGAAAAUAACAAUGAUUCCCCUAGUAACGGCGAGCGAAGAGGGAAUAGCUCAAAUUUUAAAUCUGUUGGGUUUUACCUAACCGAGUUGUAAUUUGAAGAAACGUUUUCUGCGUUUUGAUUUAGCCUAAAUCCUUUGGGAUAAGGUAUCAAGGAGGGUGAGAAUCCCGUCUGGUUAAAUCAAAAUGCUCUACGAUACGUUUUCUAAGAGUCGAGUUGUUUGGGAAUGCAGCUCAAAAUGGGAGGUAAAUUUCUCCUAAGGCUAAAUAAAGGCGAGAGACCGAUAGCGAACAAGUACCGUGAGGGAAAGAUGAAAAGAACUUUGAAAAGAGAGUUAAACAGUACGUGAAAUUGUUGAAAGGGAAACGAUUGAAGUCAGUCGUACCGACGAGGAAUCAACCUUUUGAGGGUGGAUUUGUGGGAUUCAAAGUGCCUUUGUUUUCUGCAACAUCUGCUUUUUUUGGGUGUACUUUUUCGUAUGGUAGGUUAACAUCGGUUUUGAUCGUUAUAAAAUGACAGGAGGAAUGUAGCUUCGAUCUCGUAUUGAAGUGUUAUAGCCUUUGGUAGAUGUAACGGUUAGGAUCGAGGAUUGCAAUGGAUACCCUCACGGGCUAUCCGCCUGGCCUCUGAUUUGUCACUUUGGUGCUGAAAGCGUGCUUAUGGUAUUAAAGUGUACGGUCAAAAGGUUAGAACGGAUUAAAUUCAUUAAGGACGUUGACGUAAUGGCUUUAAACGACCCGUCUUGAAACACGGACCAAGGAGUCUAACAUGUGUGCGAGUGUU
rnacentral:rRNA from 1 species